rnacentral:rRNA from 1 species
CACGUAGGGUGCGAGCGUUGUCCGGAAUUAUUGGGCGUAAAGAGCUCGUAGGCGGUGUGUCGCGUCGGCCGUGAAAACCUGCAGCUUAACUGUGGGCUUGCGGUCGAUACGGGCAUCACUGGAGUUCGGCAGGGGAGACUGGAAUUCCUGGUGUAGCGGUGAAAUGCGCAGAUAUCAGGAGGAACACCGGUGGCGAAGGCGGGUCUCUGGG